rnacentral:rRNA from 1 species
UACGUAGGGGGCAAGCGUUGUCCGGAAUCAUUGGGCGUAAAGAGCGUGUAGGCGGCUCGGUAAGUCCGCUGUGAAAGUCCAGGGCUCACCUCGGAAUGCCGGUGGAAACUGUCGAGCUAGAGUCCGGAAGAGGCGAGUGGAAUUCCUGGUGUAGCGGUGAAAUGCGCAGAUAUCAGGAGGAACACCGAUGGCGAAGGCAGGUCUCUGGGCCACUACUGACGCUGAGGAGCGAAAGCGUGGGGAGCGAACAGG